rfam:Larimichthys crocea isolate SSNF unplaced genomic scaffold scaffold469, whole genome shotgun sequence.
ACAAAGGUCCUUUUCAGGACCAUCCACCAUCUCAACUAAAAGCUGU